rnacentral:lncRNA from 1 species
GAGUCAGUCUCGUCUAUAAACGGGCGGUUGUGAGAGAAGAGUGAGGUCAGUUCUUUUCAUUUUAGACGGUGCUGUUGCAGUCAGUCAGAGAGCGUUUGUGUGCCACCGACCUGGAAACGAGUUGUAUAAAAAUGUACCCAGCCCAAAUACUGAAAUCUAAUGAAGUGAUAUUUUCCCGCUAAAAAGAACUGUUUCCCACCAGUUCAGGUUUAAACAUUCAUACCACAGUGGGAACACAUGAAUAGAAGAAGAAAAUUUCUUCUUGCCUCAGUUCUUGCUCUCCAGAAUUCUAGUUUUAUAUAUCCUUCAUGUCAAAAGUGCUUUUCUCGGAUAAUCCUGGUCUCCAAAAGGUCUAACUGUCCAAAAUGUGGCUCUACUGGUGAAGCUGAAAAUGCCAUUUACAGAUACAAGCUUUCCUUAAAAGUUGCAGAAUCAGACAAAUUAUUUGGCAUUACUGUGUUUGGAAGCUGCUUAGAUGCAUUUUUUGGUCUCACGGCCACUGGUUUGCACAGGUACAUUCAGGAUCCCAGUGAAAUUCCAGAAACUCUGGGCAGUGAUACAACUCAAAACCUAUUAACUAAAGCAGUGGAAACUUGCUUUGUUGGACAAAACUUUGUUUUUGGAGUGACGAAUUUUGAAAACCAGCAUGGAAGUGGUUCAGGUUCCAGUAACUUCUCAGAGCAGUGCUCAGACCGCAAGAGAGUAGUUAAAGCACUCGUAGCUUGCCAGAUCAUUCCACCAGACCCAAGUGUUGUAGGCUUCACUGUCAUUGACUAUUUCCGUCGGCUUUUGCAGCUUUCUGCUGUCAGGAAACUUCACUGUGGCUCCCAGACACCUAAUAGCCACUUACUUGCUUUAGAAAGUUCAAAUAGCGAUCUCAGCAACUUAUGUGGCCCUGACAGCAGUUCUUGUUUUGAGCCCCAUGACAAAGAUUAUUUUCCAGGAUUCUGGCAGCUAUCACUAGAACUCACUUCUGUUGUUUCACAACUAACAGAUGAUGGUUUUUCAGCUUCAGAACAAAGCAAGGCCAUUGGUACUCUUCACCAGAACAGAAAGUGCAUCUCCUCUGCAGAGGCCACUGGUUCCAAUAGCUGCCUUGAUACCAUUCAGGGUUCGUGGAGCCUUGUUUCACAUAUGGACAAAAAGAGUUCAGCACAAAAGUUAGAUGAAGAACCUGGCCUACAGGCUAAUCAGCCAAGUGCAGUUCAUAGCAAUCAUCAUGAAAUUGGAGUUCCUGACUCUAAUUUAUUCCCUAUGAAAGUACAGGAGCGAUUUGAACCAAGGAAUACAAAAUCCUUCCACAGUGCAGUGGAAGUUACAUAUUCUCAGCAUGAGAUAACAUGUCACCAGAAUCAGGAGGUAGAUACCCCCACCACGUUUCAGCAGAGAUGUAUGUGUUAUCCAUCUUCAUCACUCAGACUUGAGGAAAUAGCCAGUGGUUCCCAGGACUGUGACCUCGAAAUCUGGGAUGACCUGCCACUCUCUGAAAGCCUAAACAAAUUUCUGGCAGCUAUCGAAAGUAAAAUCGCUAUAAACCAGACAGAUGCCAGUAGCAGGAAAUGUUGUCUAGAUAAUGACAUCAGUAAACUACAUGUGGACCACAGCAGGUUAUCAUUGACUCCACAAAGAACCCCUGGAGCCUUGCAUACACCACAUAUAGCCUUAAGGUCACCACCAGCAACAGUCAAAGCAAACUCCAGCAGAGAUAACUUCCUUUCCAACCAUGAAGCAAAUCCAAGUCCUAGCGUUCGUAAGGAAUCACAGCCAGAAAACAGAGCAGAGGCUCUCUCAUUUAGUGGUAAUAAAAGAGAUAUUUCUGAACAUUCUCUACCAAAUGUUCAUCUGUCAGCUCUGUUUCCAUCUUCAAAAGGCUCAGGCACAACAGUUGCUCUUAAGUCUACGAGAAUUCUACCACAUGAGACUGAAAUUUCCUGUAAGCAGAAUAUUUCAGAGGCUGACCGUUCUUGUCUCAGCAGCAAAUAUAAUAAUGGAUGUGGAGAAAAAUCACUUUCAGAAAUGAGUGAAAAGUUGACAACUUUGCAUUCUGGGAGGUAUAAUGUUGUUUCCAACUUUCCCAGCUUAGAAAAUAAACAAUGCUGUAGGUGGCCAAAGAAUCAGGGCAACAGUUUGACAAUUUCCAGGAAACUCACAUAUCCUUUAGAAGCUCUUCACAGUACUCCAGACAGAAGUAUGAAUACAUUGAGAGCAAUGCUUUAUGAACACACUGGUAAUAACCUAACACAGAACUGUUCUACUGGUCAUGAAGGCAAUUACAGUGCUUCUGUGGAUCUUUUUGAUGAUAGUCCUAAAGAGAUGGACAUUGUAACAGAAAUGACCAAAAGGUCACAGGAUAUUUUAUUACAGUGGGGAAAGUCUUUGGCAGAAAGUCAUCAUAUAGAAUCUGAUUUUUCACUGAGAUCACUUUCUGAAAAUUCCAGCCAGUCACCACAAAAAUUAUCCUUGCAAAACACAUCUGCCUCUCUCUAUCCAAGAACCUGUCCCUCUCCACCUCAUUUUCAGUCAGAUUCAGAAUAUGAUUUUGAAUAUAGCCAAGACUUUGUUCCAUGUUCACAGUCAACUCCAGUUACUGGAUUCCACCAAAGUAGGAUUCAUGGGAUGAAAGGAGCUUUCCAAAAAUUACCUGCUUUUUAUUUGGACCUUGAUGCCAACUAUAAAAAAACAAGGAUUUCCUCUGCAAAUGAUGCACAGCAAGCCACCCCUAUCUGUCAAAAAAAUAUAAAGACACCUAGCCAGAAAUCCAGAAACCCUACUGUAUCUGGUAUUACACCACCAGAGAUCUCCAACAACCAUCCUGUCACUGAAUGCCUUGAAACUGAUGCUGACGAAUGGGUCCCUCCUACCACACAAAAAGUGUUUCCUUCAGAAAUGCUUGGAUUCCGGGCCAUGGGUCUAAAGAAAUGCCAUGCUGCUUAUAAUUCUCCUGAUCAAAAUGAGUUACCAAGAAAAAAACUGAAAUAUGUAAAGCAAAGAACUGGUAAAUGCUUAAUUAAGAAGGAGUUAAAUUUAAAGAAUAUGCUUACAGCAGCAGUUAUAAAACAGAAAACUCCUGACUGUAACAAUAUAAGGUCAGGCUGGAUUUCUAAAGAGUCAGUUUUGGGACGUGGUUCUUGUGCGGAAGUCAAAUGUUGCCUUCCAUUUUCAGAAAAUUGGUCACCUUCAGCACCUGAAGCUAAAAGUGCUUGGUCUCCUGAAUUGUUCUCACAAAAUAUCACCUAAACCCAAUUUCUGAGCUUUUAAAGGUACGUCUCUUUGGAAACUCUGCCUCCAAUGUCAUGGAAAGCAGACUUACCAUUUUGAAGACUUGACGCAAAUAGAAAAGAGGUGCUAUUAUGCCUAUAAACAGGGAAGCCAUUGUUUUUCCUAGCGUUUUAUCCAGAAUGAUCUGAUUUCAGAUAAUUUGGCACUUUAUCUUGUAUUGAUUGUACUUAAGUAAUAUUGUUAAUUUUGCUUGUUAAAAGUAUUUGUUAAAUCACACAUACAUGCAGAAAUAAAGCUUUUGCAGACCAAAACUUAGUCUUUCUA